rnacentral:rRNA from 1 species
AUUGAACGCUGGCGGCAUGCCUAACACAUGCAAGUCGAGCGAGCGGCUGACGGGUGAGUAAUGUAUGGGGAACUGCCCGAUAGAGGGGGAUAACUACUGGAAACGGUGGCUAAUCCAGCAUCCUAUCGGAUGAACCCAUCUGGGAUUAGCUAGUAGGUGGGGGAAAUGCUACCCUAGGCUACGAUCUCUAGCUGGUCUGAGAGGAUGACCAGCAACACUGGGACUGAGACACGGCCCAGACUCCUAUGGUAGGCAGCAGUGGGGAAUAGUGGACAAUGGGCGCAAGCCUGAUGCAGCCAUGCCGCGUGUAUGAAGAAGGCCUUAGGGUUGUAAAGUACUUUCAGCGGGGAGGCGUUACCCGCAGAAGAAGCACCGGCUAACUCCGUGCCAGCCGCCGCGGUAAUUG